rnacentral:rRNA from 1 species
GAUGAACGCUGGCGGCGUGCUUAACACAUGCAAGUCGAACGAUGAAGCCCAGCUUGCUGGGUGGAUUAGUGGCGAACGGGUGAGUAACACGUGAGUAACCUGCCCUUAACUCUGGGAUAAGCCUGGGAAACUGGGUCUAAUACCGGAUAGGAGCGUCCACCGCAUGGUGGGUGUUGGAAAGAUUUAUCGGUUUUGGAUGGACUCGCGGCCUAUCAGCUUGUUGGUGAGGUAAUGGCUCACCAAGGCGACGCCGGGUAGCCGGCCUGAGAGGGUGACCGGCCACACUGGGACUGAGACACGGCCGAGACGCCUACGGGAGGCAGCGGUGGGGAAUAUUGCACGAUGGGCGCAAGCCUGAUGCAGCGACGCCGCGUGAGGGAUGACGGCCUUCGGGUUGUAAACCUCUUUCAGUAGGGAAGAAGCGAAAGUGGCGGUACCUGCAGAAGAAGCACCGGCUAACUACGUG